rnacentral:rRNA from 1 species
UACGGGGGAUGCAAGCGUUAUCCGGAAUCAUUGGGCGUAAAGCGCCUGUAGGUUGUUUAAUAAGUCUGUUGUUAAAGACUAGGGCUUAACCCUAGAAAAGCAAUGGAAACUGUUAGACUAGAGUAUGGCAGGGGUAGAGGGAAUUUCUAGUGUAGCGGUGAAAUGCGUAGAUAUUAGAAAGAACACCAGUGGCGAAAGCGCUCUACUGGACCAUUACUGACACUCAGAGGCGAAAGCUAGGGUAGCAAAAGGGAUUAGAUACCCCUGUAGUCCUAGCCGUAAACGAUGGAUACUAGAUGUUGCAUAUAAUUUGCAGUAUCCUAGCUAACGCGUUAAGUAUCCCGCCUGGGGAGUACGCUCGCAAGGGUG